rnacentral:lncRNA from 1 species
CCGAUGAUGUUGGGGUGGAACCGUGAAAGUGAAGGGGGAAAUAAGAGGCGGUCGGAUUCAGAUGUAAACUCAUGUAAAACCACCCUUCUCUUAAACCCCUGAAGACUAACUCUUACAUCAUUUAUAGUGCAAAAUUUGAUGAAUUAAAUAACGAUUGUCAAAAUUUUAGAAUUUUAAAGAAUCAAAACAUACCUAAGAUUUGGUGAUUGGAUGACUGUGAGGGCCUCAAAAAAUACAGGGAAGCUAGCGGAUUUGCCGGAAAACCUCGCCGGAAUCUAGGUAACGGAUUGAGCUUCAAUCUUUUUCAAACCUUCACCAAAU